rnacentral:rRNA from 1 species
CUUCGUGCUCAUAGCGACGUGGACCCACCCGAUCCCAUCCCGAACUCGGAAGUUAAGCACGUCAGCGCCGAUGAUAGUUGAGGGGAAGCCCUCUGCAAAAGUAGGUCAGCGCGAGGA